rnacentral:rRNA from 1 species
UACGUAGGUGUCGAGCGUUGUCCGGAUUUAUUGGGCGUAAAGAGCCCGCAGGCGGCUUGGCAAGUUUGAGGUGAAAUCUCCCGGCUUAACUGGGAGGGGGCCUCGAAAACUGCCAGGCUUGAGGCAUGGAGAGGGAUGCGGAAUUCCCGGUGUAGUGGUGAAAUGCGCAGAUAUCGGGAGGAACACCGGUGGCGAAGGCGGUUCUCUGGGCCUGUACUGACGCUGAGGAGCGAAAGCGUGGGGAGCGAACAGG